UACGUAGGGGGCAAGCGUUGUCCGGAAUCAUUGGGCGUAAAGAGCGUGUAGGCGGUCCGGUAAGUCGGCUGUGAAAGUCCAGGGCUCAACCCUGGGAUGCCGGUCGAUACUGCCGGACUAGAGUUCGGAAGAGGCGAGUGGAAUUCCCGGUGUAGCGGUGAAAUGCGCAGAUAUCGGGAAGAACACCCGUGGCGAAGGCGGCUCUCUGGGACGGUACUGGACACUGAGACGCGAAAGCGUGGGGAGCGAACGAGG
rnacentral:rRNA from 1 species